CGGUGAAGUGUUCGGAUUGCGGCGACGUGGGCGGUUCGCUGCCCGCGACGUUGUGAGAAGUCCACUGAACCUUAUCAUUUAGAGGAAGGAGAAGUCGUAACAAGGUUUUCCGUAGGUGAACCUGCGGAAGGAUCAUUG
rnacentral:rRNA from 1 species